AAGAAAAUUUGUGAUGAAUAUAAAGAAAACAUCCUGACAACACGUUCAAAUAAAACGUCCAUUUACUGAUGUGUGUGUGAUUUAACUUAUAAUACUUUUCCCAGUUUCAAAUUAAUAUGGAGGGACAAAUACAAGUAAGCCGUCUGUAGCUUGAUUCCGCCCAGCAACAGUGGCUCAACCAAUGAUGUGAGUUUGGGGGCGGGAUUUAUUCGACCAAUGGAGGCUUGUUUAUUCAAUAAUGGCCGGCAGGAGAAACCUGUUUGAAAGCAGUCGUUAUUUUAAGCGAUUUUUAACAAACAUAGAGUGAAGGAAAUUCAGAAGUUACUUCAUGGUGUGUUUAAUGUAUAUUUUAAGGAGCACAGCGUUUAUUUUCAGGUCGAUUUGGCGUCUACCUGCUGAGGUUUGUGCUAAAAGUCCUUCCCAGUCUUCGUUGUUCCUGUUACAGCGAAAGAACACUAUACUACGAAACAGCAUAGACUUACAGCAUAAGUAUGCAAUGGGGAUGCACCUUGGGGUUUAACGGAAACAUCAAACUGAAUUUCUUCUCCAUUUAUAAUUCGUAAACCUCAAGGAACUGCAACUACAAAAAAAAAGAUGCUCAUUUUGUCAACAGUCAAGGCAAAACAGAGAAGAGCUUGAACUGGAUGAUUCCAACUAGGGAGAGGAACAGUGGUUGCAGAUGUCUGCUGUUCCGUUCAUUCUGGCAAGCUUAAACCAGGCGAAGAGCUGAAUCCCGGUCUCAGUGGCGGUGUACUGGUCUGGGCAUGUCCGCUGCCAGCUCCUUUAAGGACGAUCGAGACCUGAAGGAGGACUGCAGACUCCUCCGUAUCCCUUCGUGUCUCCCUUCGCAGUGCGCAAAGCUCUCCAAGUGUCCAACUUCAACAUGAACGUGCGCUACACGCCCCCUCAGCUGGCCUCUUUCUAUCCGACUCCCGAAUGAAUCGCUCAUCUGAACCGAAUCGUGAAUCACUCAACUGAUGACUUCGUUCAGGUGCAUGCAAACAGGAGCCUUGAAUAGAGCUGGGAAUUGCUGACUGAGCGGAAUGACCAUCAGACGGUGUGGACAGGAGCCAAACCCCCGCAGGAUUUUGGUCCAUGGGUUCACGAAGCCGGCCCACGGGGUGCUACUAAAAACAUUCCUAUGAUCUCAGACUGAUGUUGAAGAGUUCAGAUGAAAUGAAUGCCGGCCUACAUAAACUUGUUCAUGCUGCGAUGUUCUGUUGUUCAAAUAGAUUGCAAAAUGUCACUCAACUUUUGUGCCUUCAGUUAAGGAGUUUCUCCUAAGAACGUGACGGGACAACAUACAGGACAUGUUAGCAGCUCUCCGGCAUUUAGUCAGCAAAUUCCAGGGUGAUCCUUAAACAUUAAACCCUUAAGCCGAGAAAAUCCGUAUGGAUCUUGGUUGAAAAAGAAUCCCAAACUGACAAUUUGUUUUUUCUCUUCCCUGCCACCAGAGUUCAAUUUCACCCGGCAACAACAUGAUGUCAUCGGGAGAGAGGGAAUCGGCCAAUCAGAGUGCUGGCUGGUCAGCCAUGAGGUCACAAUGCUGUAUCCUAGCAAUGGCUAAAUGGUGCUGGUGUGAACUUCCUGAGACAAUCUAGUUUUAUGCAACAUACUUAGAAAUCAUGUCAGUGGAUUUUGCACACAUUUUACAACCCCAACACCUGUUCACAGAUAAAUCUGCAGAAACCUUCAGUGUUUCUUUAAUAUGAAUUAAAUGCUAUAAUAGUAUUAUACUUUUUCUAUUUUCAUUUUAUUAUUAGUUAGUUUAAGAGACUUUUUUUUUUUUUCUUUUUUUAAAUAUGUCUAUAUAUUCCUUGAUGAUUCUAUUUUGGUUCA